AAUCAAAGGGCUGAUUGCAGCAUGUGCACGCAGUCAAAUAACUCCCCUCAGCGUUCCUGGGGCUCCAGCACAGUGAGGGGACACCACCUGCAGCUGGCUCUGUUCCCCAGCUGGGUGACAUUUCCUGUCUGGCAGCUCUCCUGCUCCCCUUGUAGGGUGUGGGAUCCCUCGUGGCUGUGGGGUGUUCCUGGUGUGGGAUCCCUCGUGGCUGUGGGAUGUUGCUGCCCCUGGAUCCCUCAUGGCUGAGGACAGCAGCCAUAUCUCUGUGAGGGCAGGAGCCAGUUCUGCCACUGCAAAGCAGCCCAGAGAGACUGAUUCCUGAGUCCAACGAUCCUGCACUGACAGCACCACUGAUAAACCCCGGGAAGAGGCAGGAUGAGCCGUUGGAAGCGCUCCCUCCCCGGCCACUGAAGGGCUGCCUCCCAGAAGAUGGAGCUAUUUCCCUGAUACAGCUGAUGGAGACCUUGCUCCCAAAGUUCAUAUUCUGAACUGGAGGGAUCCUGGCAAAGUGGUUCCUGUGGUGCUCCGUGGCGUGGCAGAGCCAGGGCUGUCACCCCCACGUGCAGACAUUACCAGCCUGCACCAGCCUCUGGGCUUUCAGCUGGAGUGAAGAAACUGGACAGGAAUGCCAGACCUCAUGCAAAUCAUGUUAGGGUGUUCUGGAGCAGCACUGGUGCCUCUGCCCCGACACUGCAGCUGCCAGGGGGUUGUCCCUCACUGCCCCUCACUGUUCCUGCUCCAUCCGGAGCGUUUCCACCUGUGCUGAGCAGGACGUGGUGCUGUCAGGGAGACAAGAAUCCUGACCAGCUCCCUGUGCCAUGGUUCCCACCUGAAAGAGUAUCAGGAAUGUUCUUACAUCCUUUUCCCUGAAAGCACAUUCUGAGUGUUGGAUGCUGAUUUGGUCCCACAGCUCCUGAGAGACCAGUUCUUUCUGGGAAUAUCCACAUGGACACAUCCAGUGUGAAGAAAAAAGCAUAGUCUGGCUCCUCAGGUUGGGGAGAGGCUGGUUCACAAGUAACCAUGGCAACCAGGCUGUCACUGGGAGCAUCAAGACAUUUUCAUACCAAAAAUAAAAAAGCCCAAACACACAACAGACAUUCCUUCUCCAGCCAAUUUGGAGAUCCUAUCAUCAGUUGUGUUCCUCAGGGAUGCUGGCAGCAGCGGCAGAAUUCCCCUUUCCAGUCCUUGUGGAGCUGUCCAGCUGCCAGAUCUGUUACAGCAGCCAAAUGACCUGCACAUACCUGCUGUUAUUCCUUACCAUGGACUCUGAGGGAAAGGUGGGAGCACUGAGAACAGUCCUGAGCUUCCAUUGAAUUUUAGAGCUGAUUACAGAGAUUCCCAUUUCUCUGAAGGAAGAGUGUGUCAUCCUUGGUGUUCUGCCAGGUUCUGUUUAAUUGCUCUUUAUUAAGAGCAGCCCCAGGCACUAGAUAAUCCAUACGGAGACUACAAUCCAUCCUGACCGAGCUGCAUCCCACAGCUUGGGAGGAACCUGCUGCAAGGCUCAGCCAGUUCUUUUCCCUGGCAGAGGUGGAUAUGGCACUGGGAAGAGCAGUGG
ensembl:lncRNA